rnacentral:tRNA from 1 species
GUGGGCGUAGCUCAGUGAAAGAGUGCCUGCUUAGCAUGUACGAGAUCCUGGGUUCAAUCCCCAGUACCUCCA